UACGGGGGGGGGCAAGCGUUGUUCGGAAUUACUGGGCGUAAAGGGUCUGUAGGUGGCCAACUAAGUCAGACGUGAAAUCCCUCAGCUUAACUGGGGAACUGCGUCUGAGACUGGAUGGCUCGAGUGCAGGAGAGGAAUGCGGAAUUCCAGGUGUAGCGGUGAAAUGCGUAGAUAUCUGGAGGAACACCGGUGGCGAAGGCGGCAUUCUGGACUGCAACUGACACUGAGAGACGAAAGCCAGGGGAGCAAACGGG
rnacentral:rRNA from 1 species